GGCUGGGUAGCUUAGUUGGUAAAGCACUCGUCUAGCAUACAAGAGUCGUGAGUUCGAAUUCCAUCUGAGCAC
rfam:Aedes aegypti strain Liverpool supercont1.350 genomic scaffold, whole genome shotgun sequence.